AGUGAACGCUGGCGGUAGGCCUAACACAUGCAAGUCGAACGGCAGCACAGUAAGAGCUUGCUCUUACGGGUGGCGAGUGGCGGACGGGUGAGGAAUACAUCGGAAUCUACUUUUUCGUGGGGGAUAACGUAGGGAAACUUACGCUAAUACCGCAUACGACCUACGGGUGAAAGCAGGGGAUCUUCGGACCUUGCGCGAUUGAAUGAGCCGAUGUCGGAUUAGCUAGUUGGCGGGGUAAAGGCCCACCAAGGCGACGAUCCGUAGCUGGUCUGAGAGGAUGAUCAGCCACACUGGAACUGAGACACGGUCCCGACUCCUACGGGAGGCAGCAGCGGGGAAUAUUGGACAAUGGGCGCAAGCCUGAUCCAGCCAUACCGCGUGGGUGAAGAAGGCCUUCGGGUUGUAAAGCCCUUUUGUUGGGAAAGAAAAGCAGCAGGUUAAUACCCCGCUGUUCUGACGGUACCCAAAGAAUAAGCACCGGCUAACUUCGUG
rnacentral:rRNA from 1 species